GACGAACGCUGGCGGCGUGCCUAAUACAUGCAAGUCGAACGAGAGCGACCGGUGCUUGCACUGGCCAAUCUAGUGGCGAACGGGUGAGUAACACGUGGGUAACCUGCCCAUCAGAGGGGGAUAACAUCCGGAAACGGAUGCUAAAACCGCAUAGGUCUUCGAACCGCAUGGUUUGAAGAGGAAAAGAGGCGCAAGCUUCUGCUGAUGGAUGGACCCGCGGUGCAUUAGCUAGUUGGUGAGGUAACGGCUCACCAAGGCCGUGAUGCAUAGCCGACCUGAGAGGGUGAUCGGCCACAUUGGGACUGAGACACGGCCCAAACUCCUACGGGAGGCAGCAGUAGGGAAUCUUCCGCAAUGGACGCAAGUCUGACGGAGCAACGCCGCGUGAGUGAAGAAGGUUUUCGGAUCGUAAAACUCUGUUGUUAGAGAAGAACAAGUGCUAGAGUAACUGUUAGCGCCUUGACGGUAUCUAACCAGAAAGCCACGGCUAACUACGUG
rnacentral:rRNA from 1 species